rnacentral:tRNA from 1 species
GGUCUUGUAGUGAAGUUCAUGUUGAGUUGCAAGCUCAUCGAUGCAUAUUGAAGAUGUGCCGGGACCU